GACGAACGCUGGCGGCGUGCUUAACACAUGCAAGUCGAACGGAAAGGCCCUGCUUUUGUGGGUUUCUCGAUUGGCGAACGGGUGAGUAACACGUGAGUAACCUGCCCUUGACUUUGUGAUAACUUCAGGAAACUGGGGCGAAUACCGGAUAGGAGCUCCUGCUGCAUGUUGGGGGUUGGAAAGUUUCGGCGGUUGGGUAUGGACUCGCGGCUUAUCAGCUUGUUUGUGUGGUAGUGGCUUACCAAGGGUUUGACGGCUAGCCUGCCUGAGAGGGUAACCGGGCACAUUAGGACUGAGAUACGGACCAGACUCCUACGGGAGGCAGAAGUGGGGAAUAUUGCACAAUGGGCGGACGCCUGAUGCGGCAGUGCCGCGUGCGGGAAGACGGCCUUCGGGUUGUAAACAGCUUUCGAAUGUGACGAAGAGUGCGUGACGGUAAUGGGUAAAGAAGCACCGGCUAACUACGUG
rnacentral:rRNA from 1 species